UAAUAAGCGGAGGAAAAGAAACCAACAGGGAUAUUCUUAGUAACGGCGAGUGAAGAGAAUACAGCCCAGCGCUGAAUCGUAUUGCUUGAAAGGGUGAUACGACAUGUAGCGUGAAACUGGCGGCUGUUGAUGUUGUCGAUGCGUGUAAGUCUUCUUGAGCGGGGCUCAGUCCCAGAGAUGGUGCUAGGCCCGUAUCGCGCGUGACAAGUACAGCAACGCCCGCUUGUGGAGAGUCAGGUUGUUUGGGAACACAAUCUAAAGCCGGUGGUACACUCCAUCGAAGGCUAAAUAUGACCACGAGUCCGAUAGCGAACAAGUACCGUGAGGGAAAAUUGAAAAGCACUUUGAAGAGAGAGCGAAAUAGUGCGUGAAACCGCUUAGAGGCAAGCAGAUGGAUUCUCGAAGGUGUGCAUAGGAUUUAUUUCCUAGUUCUCACGCCACCACUGUUGUUGACGUGCACCAUGCGCUGACAUUUGGACGCUUGAGAUUGGGACUCGUGCCUGCUUGAGACGCUCGGUGUUGGACGUGUUGAGUUUUUGUGGCAUGCAAUAACAGAGCAGAGCAAUUGUCGUCGCUGUAAAGCGCCGACUGUGGCCGCUUGCUGAUGCAUUGUCGUUGUGGCGAGGCGCAAGCUUCGACAUGCGAUAUGUGUUGCAAAUCGGCUAUUAGUACCGGCAAGACGACUUUAAGACUCGGUGGCGAGUAGAUGAAAUUCCAUCUAACCCGUCUUGAAACACGGACCAAGGAGUUCAACAUAUGCGCAGGUCGUUGAGUGUCUGGUAUACUCGAAGGCCUAGUGAAAGCAAGCUACAUCAUUAGGUGGUGUAAUAGCGGCGAGAUCCUGGUGCCUCGUGCAUUAGGCGCAUCGCCGACCCGUUUAAUGGCCACGCGCCAUGGACGGAGUUAGAGCGCAUACGCUGAGACCCGAAAGAUGGUGAACUAUGCCUGGGCAGGAUGAAGCCAGAGGAAACUCUGGUGGAAGUCCGUAGCGAUUCUGACGUGCAAAUCGAUCGUCUGACCUGGGUAUAGGGGCGAAAGACUAAUCGAACCAUCUAAUAGCUGGUUCCCUCCGAAGUUUCCCUCAGGAUAGCUGGUGCUCGAUUUUAAGCAGUCUCUCCCGGUAAAGCGAAUGAUUAGAGGCCUUGGGACCGAAACGGUCUCAACCUAUUCUCAAACUUUAAAUGGGUGAGAAGUCCGGCUUACUUGAUUUGAAGUCUGGACCAUAGUUUGGAUGCAUGAGUGCCUAGUGGGCCAUUUUUUGGUAAGCAGAACUGGCGCUGUGGGAUGAACCGAACGUUGAGUUACGGCGCCUGAUUAUAGACGCUCAUCAGAUACCACAAAAGGUGUUGGUUGCUAUAGACAGCAGGACGGUGGCCAUGGAAGUCGGAACCCGCUAAGGAGUGUGUAACAACUCACCUGCCGAAGCAACUAGCCCUGAAAAUGGAUGGCGCUAGAGCGUUUAGCCUAUACUCAACCGUUGAAGCACAUGCGGCGGUAAGCAAUUGCCGUUUUUCAUGCUUUAUGGCAUACGCAUGCUAGUCAUGCUUCAACGAGUAGGAGGGUCGCGGCGAUAUGCUUUGAAGGCUUAGCGGCGUGAGCCGGGCUGGAGCUGUCGUCGGUGCAGAUCUUGGUGGUAGUAGCAAAUACUCAAGCGAGAACCUUGAGGACUGAAGUGGAGAAGGCUUCCAUGUGAACAGCAGUUGAACAUGGGUCAGUCGAUCCUAAGACAUCGGCGAAGGCCGUUCAGAAGCGGUGUCGGUUAUGUGGCAGUGUGCUGUUUCGGCAGUAUACUGUCCGGCUAUAGGCGCUCGUUCGUUUAUAGUCGCCGCACCUGUCAAAAGGGAAUUGGAUUAAUAUUUCCAAACCUAACAGCGGAGAUUGGUUGCUCAUUUGGCUGCACGGGCCUUGUGCUCGUUGUAGUCGGGGCAACGCGCUGCGGUAACGCAAACGAACUCGAACACGCUGACUGGAGUCCCGGGAAGAGUUGUCUUUUCUUCAUAAGGAGUCGACUCCAUGGAAUUGGUUCAGCCAGAGAUAUGGAGAUGGCGUCCGAAAAGCAUUGCGCUUCUUGCAAUGUCCGGUGCGCUUCAAGCGGCCCAUGAAAAUUCGAGGGAGAGAAUGAUUUUCGUGUUAGAUCGUACCCAUAUCCGCAGCAGGUCUCC
rnacentral:rRNA from 1 species